rnacentral:lncRNA from 1 species
UUCCACAUCAGUACUGUGACCCCGUGGCUGCAUACCUUCGUCAGCUGACUGAUGCAUCAACACAGAUCUAGCCAAUGGAUGUGGCAACAAAAUUCUGUGCAUCUCUGCCCUACCACUCUGCCUGUCAUCCUUGGAAGAGCUGACGGCCCGGGAGUUCCAUGCAUGCCCUCAGCUCAGGGGUCUUCCAUGCUUUGCCCACAGCCUGGAAGGAUUGAAGAAGGGACCGGUAUUGAAGAAGGGUAUGGCGGCCUGCCUGCCACUCCACACGCUGCCUCCAGUGACUGCCAGGUGGCCUUCCCACCUGGCCACCGCAGAUGGACCUUGGAAACAGCUGAAGGCUCAUGGCGGCCCCAGGCCUGAGAGUCCUGCACCCCGUAGAGACCCCUCUAGAACAGCACUGACCACACGCCUGGAGGAGAACCACGUGAGGAGAUAAAAACCCUCAGUGAAAACAAAGAGACAAGUAAAAUGAUUUUAACAUGCCACAUUUAAUUCAGUUUCACCAAAAUGCAUCAUCACAACAAGUGCUUUAGGCUGCUGCAGCAGAGCCCCGUGCGCGCAGUAGGUCGUUCCUUCUGGACACAGAGCUGUGGAGGCCUGAGACCUCCCCCACAGG